rnacentral:rRNA from 1 species
UACGUAGGGACCAAGCGUUGUUCGGAUUUACUGGGCGUAAAGGGCGCGUAGGCGGCGUGGUAAGUCACUUGUGAAAUCUCCGAGCUUAACUCGGAACGGUCAAGUGAUACUGCUGUGCUAGAGUACAGAAGGGGCAAUCGGAAUUCUUGGUGUAGCGGUGAAAUGCGUAGAUAUCAAGAGGAACACCUGAGGCGAAGGCGGGUUGCUGGGCUGAUACUGACGCUGAAGCGCGAAAGCGAGGGUAGCAAACGGG